rnacentral:rRNA from 1 species
UGGGGGAUAUUGCACAAUGGGGGAAACCCUGAUGCAGCGACGCCGCGUGUAGGAAGACGGUCCUCUGGAUUGUAAACUACUGUCUUCAGGGACGAAAAUGACGGUACCUGAAGAGGAAGCUCCGGCUAACUACGUGCCAGCAGCCGCGGUAAUACGUAGGGAGCGAGCGUUGUCCGGAAUUACUGGGUGUAAAGGGAGCGUAGGCGGGAGCGCAAGUUGGAUGUUAAAUAUACAGGCUCAACCUGUAACAGCAUUCAAAACUGCGCAUCUUGAGUGAAGUAGAGGCAGGCGGAAUUCCUAGUGUAGCGGUGAAAUGCGUAGAUAUUAGGAGGAACACCAGUGGCGAAGGCGGCCUGCUGGGCUUUUACUGACGCUGAGGCUCGAAAGUGUGGGGAGCAAACA